AUUGAACGCUGGCGGCAGGCCUAACACAUGCAAGUCGAGCGGAUGAACGGAGCUUGCUCCUGGAUUCAGCGGCGGACGGGUGAGUAAUGCCUAGGAAUCUGCCUGGUUGUGGUGUAUAACGUCCGGAAACGGGCGCUAAUACCCCAUACGUGCUGACGGAGUAAGUGGGGGAUCUUCGGACCUCACGCUAUCAGAUGAUCCUAGGUCGGAUUAGCUAGUUGGUGGGGUAAAGGCCUACCAAGGCGACGAUCCGUAACUGGUCUGAGAGGAUGAUCAGUCACACUGGAACUGAGACACGGUCCAGACUCCUACGGGAGGCAGCAGUGGGGAAUAUUGGACAAUGGGCGAAAGCCUGAUCCAGCCAUGCCGCGUGUGUGAAGAAGGUCUUCGGAUUGUAAAGCACUUUAAGUUGGGAGGAAGGGCAGUAAGUUAAUACCUUGCUGUUUUGACGUUACCAACAGAAUAAGCACCGGCUAACUUCGUG
rnacentral:rRNA from 1 species